GUGAACACGUUUCAGGAGCAUGAUCAAUUUGUGAGUUUUAUUCGCCUUAUUUCGUUAGCUGUACGAAAUCAAAAAUAACUUUGCAGGCGUGGCAUCGAUCAUCAUCCUUACAUUUGAAAUAAAUGACAGCAGUAAAGGUAAAAGUAAAGGGUGGGAGAGACACGUUCAGGCACACGGGGAUUUUGCAGCUAACCUGAGGAUGAGGAGCACCAACACUCCAGUCAACUGCAAGAGAUGAAAGCAGAAACAAUGCAAAGUAGCCCUAGACUUUUCUCUCCUCCCGUUGCCAUGACGACCAUCGCUCCACCUGAAAUUGAAG